GACAGAGGGUGCAAACGUUGUUCGGAAUUACUGGGCGUAAAGCGCGUGCAGGCGGCUUGGUAAGUCGGGUGUGAAAUCCCGGGGCUCAACCCCGGAACUGCAUCCGAUACUGCCUCGCUCGAGUCCCGGAGAGGAUGGCGGAAUUUCCGGUGUAGAGGUGAAAUUCGUAGAUAUCGGAAGGAACACCAGCGGCGAAGGCGGCCAUCUGGACGGUGACUGACGCUCAGACGCGAAAGCGUGGGGAGCAAACAGG
rnacentral:rRNA from 1 species